rnacentral:lncRNA from 1 species
AUAUGAAAUCGUUCAAGUGUAUUAACAGAAACAGCAGUUGCGCAUAUAUUAAGUAUGAAGGAACACUGAAGGCAGUUGUUUAUCUAGAGUGACUACGAU